CGGCCGCAUCACGUUGAAACAUCGGAUCCCGUAAGAUCACCGAAGUUAAGCAACGUGUAGUCCGGUCAGUACCUAAAUAGCCGCUUGGGAAUAUCAGGUGCCGUAAG